AAAUGGAUGGAUUAUGAUUUAAUAGAUAGCAAAGCAUUCAAUAAUCGUUCUAUGUUGGAUUAGGAUAUAGUGAAUUUUGAAAUAUGCCUAGCGCUUUAAGUUUAUAAAAUAGAUAUAUGAUGUUCAUUGUACUGUAUUGGAGAUCAGUAACUAGCAGCCGUUGGAUGGCUAUAGAUAGAAGAUAAAUGCAAUUGCAUAGUAACAGGAAUUUCCUUUGAAAGAUGAUGUAUUUGUUACAGUGUGGUACGCCUGAUAUGUGUUUCCGUUGGACAGAUUUACUGGUACUAUCAUUGAAAUAGGUGAUUCUGAUCCCCUGAGGUGGCCGGGUUCGAAGUGGAGAUACCUCAAGGUACAAUGGGAUGCAAUAUCAGCUAUUCCACAACCAGAGAGGGUCUCACCAUGGAAAAUAGAACCUGUCUUGACCCCGUCAGAAAUUAAUCCUCUGCCGAAAGCCAAAAACAAGAGAUCCCGGCCGAAUGUACUGCCUCCAAAACAAGAUUUGUCAGUUCUCGAUAAGGCAUUAAUUGAUUCUACACAGUUGCAAAGAUUUAAUACAAUGGUCUUGCAAGGUCAAGAAGUCAUGACCUCGGGAGGAUCUUUGGAUGAAAAUAAGGUUGACAGUGUUCCGAGGACAGUUGUGUGGUAUCCAAAACUAGAUUAUGUCGAAACAAAAUGUGUAUUCUCUCAAGGAA